rnacentral:rRNA from 1 species
GACGAACGCUGGCGGCGUGCUUAACACAUGCAAGUCGAGCGGUAAGGCCCUUCGGGGUACACGAGCGGCGAACGGGUGAGUAACACGUGGGUGAUCUGCCCUGUACUUCGGGAUAAGCCUGGGAAACUGGGUCUAAUACCGGAUAUGACCUUACAUCGCAUGGUGUUUGGUGGAAAGAUUUAUCGGUACAGGAUGGGCCCGCGGCCUAUCAGCUUGUUGGUGGGGUAAUGGCCUACCAAGGCGACGACGGGUAGCCGGCCUGAGAGGGCGACCGGCCACACUGGGACUGAGACACGGCCCAGACUCCUACGGGAGGCAGCAGUGGGGAAUAUUGCACAAUGGGCGAAAGCCUGAUGCAGCGACGCCGCGUGAGGGAUGACGGCCUUCGGGUUGUAAACCUCUUUCGACAGGGACGAAGCGCAAG